rnacentral:rRNA from 2 species
GCUUGCUUCUUUGACGUUAGCGGCGGACGGGUGAGUAACACGUGGGCAACCUGCCUGUAAGACUGGGAUAACUUCGGGAAACCGAAGCUAAUACCGGAUAGGAUCUUCUCCUUCAUGGGAGAUGAUUGAAAGAUGGUUUCGGCUAUCACUUACAGAUGGGCCCGCGGUGCAUUAGCUAGUUGGUGAGGUAACGGCUCACCAAGGCAACGAUGCAUAGCCGACCUGAGAGGGUGAUCGGCCACACUGGGACUGAGACACGGCCCAGACUCCUACGGGAGGCAGCAGUAGGGAAUCUUCCGCAAUGGACGAAAGUCUGACGGAGCAACGCCGCGUGAGUGAUGAAGGCUUUCGGGUCGUAAAACUCUGUUGUUAGGGAAGAACAAGUACAAGAGUAACUGCUCGUACCUUGACGGUACCUAACCAGAAAGCCACGGCUAACUACGUGCCAGCAGCCGCGGUAAUACGUAGGUGGCAAGCGUUAUCCGGAAUUAUUGGGCGUAAAGCGCGCGCAGGCGGUUUCUUAAGUCUGAUGUGAAAGCCCACGGCUCAACCGUGGAGGGUCAUUGGAAACUGGGGAACUUGAGUGCAGAAGAGAAAAGCGGAAUUCCACGUGUAGCGGUGAAAUGCGUAGAGAUGUGGAGGAACACCAGUGGCGAAGGCGGCUUUUUGGUCUGUAACUGACGCUGAGGCGCGAAAGCGUGGGGAGCAAACACGAUUAGAUACCCUGGUAGUCCACGCCGCAAACGAUGAGUGCUAAGUGUUAGAGGGGUUUCCGCCCUUUUAGUGCUGCAGCUGACGCAUUAAGCACUUCCUCCCUGGGGGAGUACGUGUCGCCAGACUGAAACUCACAGGAAGUGACGGGGGGCGCGCCCUAGCAGUGGAGGAUGUAGAUUAUUCGAAGCCACGCGUAGAACCAUAACCAUGGUCUGGACAUCCUUCUGACAACAUCUUAAUAUGAGCGUUCCCGCUUCGUGGGACGGGAGUGACAGGUGGUGGCAUGAUCGUCGUCAGCUC